rnacentral:snRNA from 1 species
AUCAUUUUUAUGCCUUUUGGCUAAGGUCAAGGGAAGUAUCUGUUCUUAUCAGUUUAAAAUUUAGAUUUGUAUCCUGUUAUUUUAAAGUAUUAAAACAAGGUGGAUUUAAAAUGUCA